GACGAACGCUGGCGGCGUGCCUAACACAUGCAAGUCGAACGGAGCUUUGAGAGCUUGCUCUUAAAGCUUAGUGGCGAACGGGUGAGUAACGCGUGAGCAACCUGCCUUUCAGAGGGGGACAACAGUUGGAAACGACUGCUAAUACUGCAUAAUGUCAUCUGGGGACAUCCCCUAAUGACCAAAGGAGCAAUCCGCUGAAAGAUGGGCUCGCGUCUGAUUAGCUAGAUGGCGGGGUAACGGCCCACCAUGGCGACGAUCAGUAGCCGGACUGAGAGGUUGAUCGGCCACAUUGGGACUGAGAUACGGCCCAGACUCCUACGGGAGGCAGCAGUGGGGAAUAUUGGGCAAUGGGCGAAAGCCUGACCCAGCAACGCCGCGUGAGGGAAGAAGGUCUUCGGAUUGUAAACCUCUUUUUAACCAGGGACGAAGAACGUGACGGUACCUGGAGAAAAGC
rnacentral:rRNA from 1 species